rnacentral:rRNA from 1 species
CCAGCAGCCGCGGUAAUACGUAGGGUGCGAGCGUUGUCCGGAAUUACUGGGCGUAAAGAGCUCGUAGGCGGUUUGUCGCGUCGUCUGUGAAAUCCCGCAGCUCAACUGCGGGCUUGCAGGCGAUACGGGCAGACUCGAGUACUGCAGGGGAGACUGGAAUUCCUGGUGUAGCGGUGAAAUGCGCAGAUAUCAGGAGGAACACCGGUGGCGAAGGCGGGUCUCUGGGCAGUAACUGACGCUGAGGAGCGAAAGCGUGGGUAGCGAACAGGAUUAGAUACCCUGGUA